UACGUAGGGGGCAAGCGUUGUCCGGAUUUAUUGGGCGUAAAGAGCGUGUAGGCGGCCAUACAGGUCCGUUGUGAAAACUGGAGGCUUAACCUCCAGACGUCGAUGGAAACCGUAUGGCUAGAGUCCGGAAGAGGAGAGUGGAAUUCCUGGUGUAGCGGUGGAAAAUGCGCAGAUAUCAGGAAGAACACCCGUGGCGAAGGCGGCCUCUCUGGGGACGGUACUGACGCUGAGACGCGAAAGCGUGGGGAGCGAAC
rnacentral:rRNA from 1 species